rnacentral:tRNA from 1 species
GCCUGGGUGGCUCAGUUGGUUGAGCAUCUGACUUUGGCUCAGGUCAUGACCUCAUACUUCACGGGUUCAAGCCCCAUAUCGGGCU